rnacentral:rRNA from 1 species
GAUGAACGCUAGCUACAGGCUUAACACAUGCAAGUCGAGGGGUAACGAGAGGAAAGCUUGCUUUCCUUGUCGACGACCGGCGCACGGGUGAGUAACGCGUAUCCAACCUGCCCCCAACUAGGGAAUAACCUUGCGAAAGUAAGACUAAUACCCUAUAAUUUCCUCAGAUGACAUCUGACGAGGAAUAAAGAUUUAUCGGUUGUGGAUGGGGAUGCGUCUGAUUAGCUUGUUGGCGGGGUAACGGCCCACCAAGGCAACGAUCAGUAGGGGUUCUGAGAGGAAGGUCCCCCACAUUGGAACUGAGACACGGUCCAAACUCCUACGGGAGGCAGCAGUGAGGAAUAUUGGUCAAUGGGCGGAAGCCUGAACCAGCCAAGUAGCGUGCAGGAUGACGGCCCUAUGGGUUGUAAACUGCUUUUAUACAGGAAUAAAGUUAGCCACGUGUGGUUAUUUGUAGGUACUGUAUGAAUAAGGACCGGCUAAUUCCGUGCCAGCCGCCGCCGUAA